rnacentral:rRNA from 1 species
UACGGAGGAUGCAAGCGUUAUCCGGAAUUAUUGGGCGUAAAGCGUCCGCAGGUGGUUUGUCAAGUCUGCUGUCAAAGCGUGGAGCUUAACUCCAUAAGGGCAGUGGAAACUGGCAGACUAGAGUUUGGUAGGGGUAAGGGGAAUUCCCAGUGUAGCGGUGAAAUGCGUAGAUAUUGGGAAGAACACCAGCGGCGAAAGCGCCUUACUGGGCCUGAACUGACACUCAUGGACGAAAGCUAGGGGAGCGAAAGGG